rnacentral:lncRNA from 1 species
UACAAAGAUAGGAGAGAGGAAGGUGGUUAAGCCUUUUUCUGAGAUGCAUCAAGGAAGAAACUUUCAGGGUAUGCUCUUUACUUUUAUACUGAUACCCCGUGUUAACUAGUGAGAUUAUUAGCCUUAAUUAACCAAAAAUUUGCCUUGUUAUGGGAAACAGCGCGUGGUGGAGAGUAGAGACUGUCAAAAUCAUAAUCAGAUAACUGGGACUGUAGUAUAUAAAUCAAACUUCAUUAAGAAUAUUUAUGUGAUUACUUUAUAGUUAAUCAAAUGCUAGGAACCACUUCAUCCAUAAAAUACUAGAAUAUCAAUAUUAUGCUCACUACUCUAAUGAUUCAAGCCAGCUUAUUCUUCCAGCAGGUAUCAGGAACUGUCUUUUGUGAUUCUUCUCAAGACAAAGUCUAGUGAGUUUUCAACAAUGGAGUGAGUGAACCUCGAAGGUGGAGGGACAUGAUUUCAUUGGUGGAUCCAAUUAGCUUCCCCCCGAUGAACACAGCAGGGACUGGAGC